rnacentral:rRNA from 1 species
CGAUGAUGCAUAGCCGACGUUGAGAGACUGAUCGGCCACAUUGGGACUGAGACACGGCCCAACGCUCCUACGGGAGGCAGCAGUAGGGAAUCUUCCACAAUGGACGCAAGUCUGAUGGAGCAACGCCGCGUGAGUGAAGAAGGGUUUCGGCUCGUAAAGCUCUGUUGUUGGUGAAGAAGGACAGGGGUAGUAACUGACCUUUGUUUGACGGUAAUCAAUUAGAAAGUCACGGCUAACUACGUGCCAGCAGCCGCGGUAAAU